rnacentral:lncRNA from 1 species
UUCGAUAAGUUCGAAAUAAUACACUUUAAUGCCUGGGGCCUACGCAAAAAAGAGAAGAGUUCGACCUCGAUCGAACGAUGACGGGUUACUAUUUCGAUAAGUUCGAAAUAACACCCUUUUAGGCCAAGGUACUUCGCCAAAAAGAGAAGAGUUCGACCUCAAUCGAACGACGACGGGUUACUAUUUUGAUAAAGUUUGAAAUAAUACCCUUUAAUGCCUAGGGCCUACGCAAAAAAGAGAACAGUUCGACAUCGAUCGAACGAUGACGGGUUACUAUUUCGAUAAGUUCGAAAUAACACCCUUUAAGGCCAAGGGCCUUCGCCAAAAAGAGAAGAGUUCGACCUCAAUCGAACGAUGACGGGUUACUAUUUCGAUAAAGUUCGAAAUAACACCCUUUAAGGCCAAGAGCCUUCGCCAAAAAGAGAAAAGUUCGACCUCAAUUGAACGACGAUGGGUUACUAUUUCGAUAAGUUCGAAAUAAUACACUUUAAUGCCUGGGGCCUACGCAAAAAAGAGAAGAGUUUGACCUCGAUCCAACGAUGACGGGUUACUAUUUCGAUAAGUUUGAAAUAACACUCUUUUAGGCCAAGGGCAUUCGCCAAAAAGAGAAGAGUUCGACCUCAAUUGAACGACGAUGGGUUACUAUUUCGAUAAGUUCGAAAUAACAGCUUUUAAGGCCUAGGGCAUUCGCCAAAAAGAAAGAAGUUCGACCACGAUCGAAUGACGACGGGUUACUAUUUCGAUAAGUUCGAAAUAACACCCUUUUAGGCCAAGGUCCUUCGCCAAAAAGAGAAGAGUUCGACCUCAAUCGAACGAUGACGGGUUACUAUUUUGAUAAGUUCGAAAUAACACACUUUUAGGCCAAGGGCCUUCGCCAAAAAGAGAAGAGUUUGACCUCGAUCGAACGACGACGGGUUACUAUUUCGAUAAGUUCGAAAUAACAGCUUUUAAGGCCUAGGGCCUUCGCCAAAAAGAAAGGAGUUCGACCACGAUUGAACGACGACAGGUUACUAUUUCGAUAAGUUCGAAAUAACACCUUGUAAGGCCAAGGUCCUUCGCUAAAAAGAGAAGAGUUCGACCUCGAUUGAACGACGACGGGUUACUAUUUCGAUAAAGUUUGAAAUAAUACACUUUAAUGCCUGGGGCCUACGCAAAAAAGAGAAGAGUUCGACCUCGAUCGAACGAUGAUGGGCUACUAUUUCGAUAAGUUCGAAAUAACACCCUUUAAGGCCAAGGGCCUUCGCCAAUAAGAGAAGAGUUCGACCUCGAUCAAAUGACGACGGGUU